rnacentral:rRNA from 1 species
UACAGAGGGUGCAAGCGUUAAUCGGAAUUACUGGGCGUAAAGCGUGCGUAGACGGUUGCGUAAGUCAGAUGUGAAAGCCCCGGGCUCAACCUGGGAAUUGCAUUUGAGACUGCGUAGCUAGGGUGCGGAAGAGGGAAGCGGAAUUUCCGGUGUAGCGGUGAAAUGCGUAGAUAUGACGCAGAACACCAAUUGCGAAGGCAGCUUGCUACACUGUUAUUGACACUGAGGCACGAAAGCGUGGGGAUCAAACAGG